rnacentral:rRNA from 1 species
UACGGAGGGAGCUAGCGUUGUUCGGAAUUACUGGGCGUAAAGCGCACGCAGGCGGAUUGAUAAGUCAGGGGUGAAAUCCCGGGGCUCAACCUCGGAAUUGCCUUUGAUACUGUCUGUCUUGAGUCCGGGAGAGGUGAGUGGAAUUCCUAGUGUAGAGGUGAAAUUCGUAGAUAUUAGGAAGAACACCAGUGGCGAAGGCGGCUCACUGGCCCGGUACUGACGCUCAUGUGCGAAAGCGUGGGGAGCAAACAGG